GGAGAUGACGACCUGAGCCAAAAUCAAGUCGGACACCUAACCGACGGAGCUACACAGAUUCAGUUUCUGGACCUGCAAGGUUGAUGUCCUGUACUUGGCACGUGGGGAGCUCAGCCAGAACAUAUCUGGCUCAUGUCCCUUCAAGGACGCUUAGUUCUCAGGAGACUUCUUGAGGAUGCCCAUUUUUGAAAGAGACUUCACAGCCUGGUUCCUCUUCUUUGGAUCAAUUCAAACGUUCACUCCGUUUUAACCACUCGAGUGCUUCUCAGGACCACCAUGAUCAGCGAGGGCAGAGAUAGACCAUGAACAGACAGAAACAAGAAAACAAGCAGAUGGGUUCAGACCCUGAGGACAAUGACAAGGUGGGGAGGUCAUUGUAUGUAUCCACAUGGAACUUAUAAAGGGAAGCAUGAGAAUUAGAUGUUAAUGUUGUUUACACUGUUUAUCUCAGCAGGUGGAAUGCCCUCCCGUCUGUGGCCACCAGUCAUCCUUUCCAUCCUUCACACUGCAGAUAAAAUUUACCUCCCCCUCCCCCCACGGACGAGACCAACCUGACCAUCCAGCAGGAAGGCACUUUUCUCUCUCCUUUGUGUGAGGAUCACUCGUGCUUCGUCUUCUCAUGAUCUACGAAGUGGCGUUGCUUCUCCUCCGUCUUAGGUCGAGCUCUGAGAAACAGAUCCUAUGAAGGAGAUUUGUGUGCAGCAAGUUUUGAAUCCUUCAGAUCAACCUCCUGCGGGGGGGGGGGGGGGGAGGGGGAAGGGCAGAGGGGAGGAAGCAAGAUUUGGCAAAGGAAGGGGCUGAUCUGCUAUACAGUCUCCACCCCGGCCUCAGCCCGUCACAUGGGGCGCUGGAGCUGGGUGACGCCCUCAGCUGGACCUUCACACACCAUCACCCAUCACGGACUGGUCGUUGGAUGCAUCUGUCUCCCGGUGGGAUGCAUGAUCUUGAUGCCUGGCGACAGCUCUUGUGAUGCUUGGAGGGACUCCGCUGAGAGCCACCGUCUCCAGUAGUUGGGAGAAAGGGUGACGUGGUUCCAGAGGGGGCCAGGUGGUGCACCUGGCCUCCGGCCUCCAGCCUCCAGCCUCUCAUCUGCAAGGAGGGAGGGAGCGCGUCUACGCCUGCGUGUUUGCCUGCGGGCUGCCUCCGGCAGGUGGCGCACCUUCAGUAAAUAGCUGUUAAAGGAGUGAAUAAAUCAACAAAGGAGCAGCUCAGAGCAACUGGGUCAUUCUCCGCUUUUAUUUGCCAGUAAUUUCUUAGUCCCAACGUUUUUGUUCCCUUCUUUAAAAAUAUUGCGUAUUAAUGUGGAAAGUUAUUCUAGGUCUUUGCUAGCCUCUCCACCUAGGGCUUCCUGGGACAGUCCUGGGAGGAGUACUAUGUUUUUUCUUCAUGACUACGAUGGAGAACGCGCAACAUAAAAUACUCCUUUAAUUAUGUUAAGUGUGUAGUUCAGUAGCUUCAGUCACGUUCAUAUGGUUUUUCAGCCAUCACCACGUUCACGUUCAGAACUUUUCCAUCCCCAGUUAAAUCUCUGCACCCAUUAAACUAUUACUCUUCCUUUUCUCUUUCCCCCCAGCUCCGGGGGACCUGUAUUCUACUUUUUGUUUCUAUAAAUUUGCUUAUUUCAGGCACAGCAUACAAGUGGAAUCGUGUAAUAUUUGUUCUUCUAUGUCUGGUUUAUAUUUCACCUGGCAUCACAGUUUGAAGGGUCAACCAACCACGUUAUAACCUGUGUCACAAUUUCAUUCCUGGUUAAGGCUGAAUAAUAUUCCAUUGUGUGGAUAGACCACAUUUUGUUCACCCAUUCAUCUGUCGAUGGACAUUUCGAUUGCUCACUUGUAACCUUUUGGCUAUUGUGAAUAAUGCUGUGAACACUGGUGGACAAGGCCGAGCCCUUGCUUUUAAUUGUUUGAGGCAGAUA